rnacentral:rRNA from 1 species
UACGAAGGGGGCGAGCGUUGUUCGGAAUUACUGGGCGUAAAGGGCGCGUAGGCGGCGACCCAAGUCAGAUGUGAAAGUCCUGGGCUUAACCUGGGGACUGCAUUUGAUACUGGGUUGCUUGAAUUCGGGAGAGGAUAGCGGAAUUCCGAGUGUAGAGGUGAAAUUCGUAGAUAUUCGGAAGAACACCAGUGGCGAAGGCGACUUACUGGACACAUAUUGACGCUGAGGUGCGAAAGCGUGGGGAGCAAACAGG